rnacentral:tRNA from 1 species
GGACGGGUGGCCGAGUGGUUUAAGGCAGCGGUCUUGAAAACCGCCG